rnacentral:rRNA from 1 species
GUCCAGACUCCUACGGGAGGCAGCAGUGGGGAAUAUUGCACAAUGGGGGAAACCCUGAUGCAGCGACGCCGCGUGAGUGAAGAAGUAUUUCGGUAUGUAAAGAUCUAUCAGCAGGGAAGAAGAAAGACGGUACCUGACUAAGAAGCCCCGGCUAACUACGUGCCAGCAGCCGCGGUAAUACGUAGGGGGCAAGCGUUAUCCGGAUUUACUGGGUGUAAAGGGAGCGUAGACGGCUGUGCAAGUCUGAAGUGAAAGCCCAGGGCUCAACCCUGGGACUGCUUUGGAAACUGGCAUGCUGGAGUGCCGGAGGGGCAAGCGGAAUUCCUAGUGUAGCGGUGAAAUGCGUAGAUAUUAGGAGGAACACCGGUGGCGAAGGCGGCUUGCUGGACGGUAACUGACGUUGAGGCUCGAAAGCGUGGGGAGCAAACAGGAUUAGAUACCCGAGUA